rnacentral:rRNA from 1 species
GACGAACGCUGGCGGCGUGCCUAGCACAUGCAAGUCGAACGAAAAGAGGGAAAGAGCUUGCUCUUUCCGGAAUUGAGUGGCAAACGGGUGAGUAACACGUAAACAACCUGCCUUCAGGAUGGGGACAACAGACGGAAACGACUGCUAAUAACGAAUAAGUUCCAAGAGCUGCAUGGCCCAUGGAAGAAAAGGUGGCCUCUACCAGUAAGCUAUCGCCUGAAGAGGGGUUUGCGUCUGAUUAGCUGGUUGGAGGGGUCACGGGCCACCAAGGGGACGAUCGGUAGACGGUCAGAGAGGAGGAACGGCCACACUGGAACUGGAGCACGGUCCAGACUCCUACGGGAGGCAGCAGGGGGGAAUCUUCCGCAAAGGGCGAAAGCCUGACGGAGGAACGCCGCGUGAGAGAAGGCGGCCUUCAGGUUGUAAAACUCUUUAAUCCAGGACGGAAAUGCAGAGUGCGUAGAAGAAACUGCAUUGACGGUACCGGAAAAGCAAGCCACGGCUAACUACGUG